CAAGAAAGGAACAAGAAAUGAAAUGGUGUUACAAAGGCUCCUGUCAUAACAUUUCUUAGUCAGUAGUUCACAUUUUUGUAAUGGUUGCAAGGCUCCUGUCAUUCUACUCAUUUUCUGUGUGUAUAUCCUUGUUAUGGUACCAUGAUGUACUCAUCUUUUGUCAUUGCUAGCAGGAGUAUGGAUUUGAACAUGAUGCCUCAAGAGGAAGACGAUGAAGGUAUUAAUUUGAAUUUGAUGCCUCAAGAGGAGGAACCUCAAGUGGCAGAGAAUGUAGUUAUGGAUUUGAACUUGAUGCCUCAAGAGGAAGACGAUGAAGAUAUGAAUUGGAUGCCUCAAGAAGAUGAAGGGAAAGAGGAUGAAGUUAUGAAUUGGAUACUUCAAGAGAAGAGAAGAGAAUUGUCAGAUAAGGAGAGGCAUGGUGUUUACUUUGCCUUGCUGGUAAUCGAGCUCAGAGAUGGGUCUGUUCAACCAGACGACAAGCUGCUAGUCUCAAACCUGUUGGACAUAAGUGUACGAUCUGUUGAAAGAAUCUAGGAAGAGGCUAAAAAGCAAAUUGCCGAUGGCAAAGAAGUAGAUGUCUCAAGCAAGAAGCCAGGAAGAUCCGGCAGAAAGAGAAAGGAGCUAGAUCUAGAGAGGACCUCAACAAUCCCACUGAAUAAAAGAAGAACAAUUCGAUCUCUGGCACGGUCUCUAGGUGUGGCCCGAUCGACCCUACAUAAGAGGUUCCAGUUGAAUGAGCUCAACCGCAUCACAAGCACCGUGAAGCCUCAUCUCAAGCUAGAGAACAAGCUUGCGAGAUUGAAAUUUUGUAUGUCCAUGGUCGAUGACAAUUCGAUCUCAACUUCUCGGGCUAUGUUAAAACCAAUGACGAAUAUGG